rnacentral:snRNA from 2 species
AUACCUUUCUCGGCCUUUUGGCUAAGAUCAAGUGUAGUAUCUGUUCUUAUCAGUUUAAUAUCUGAUACGUGGGCCAUCGGCUCACAUGAUAUUAAAUUAAUUUUUUAAGGGGGAGGGUUCACCAUGGUAGCUUGCUGCCAGAGCUCUCGAGCGUCGCCCAUGCGUUGCACUACAGCUUGGGCCUGGCGCACCCCUC